CAAGAGGACACUGAGUGUUGACUCCCUGGGACUAUUGCUGGGGUUCACUUGGAAAUCAAGAAGGUCUAUGGACAAUCUUCAAGAAAUUGGAUAUCCUGGGAAAUGCACAAAUAUCAGUCAAGAAUUCCAAUUCUCGAAGGAUGUGUGGCAUCGUUCAUAUGCUGAGGCCAACAACAAUGGCAACUCCAGGGUGUUUGAAGUACUACAGGUAUAUUGCCUGCCGUGAGCACCGUUAAUCACAGGCG